UGAAAAUGAUUUUUAGUAGCGUAAAAGUUAAAUAUAUUUAUACAAACUAUAAUACGGAAAGCCAAAGUAUGAAAUUUAAUUUACAAUGCUACGUGGGCCCACAAAUGAACAAAAGUAGUAAAGACAGUAAACCUAUAGUUUUUGAAGUAGUAUGGCCAACUAUAGUUCUCGACGAUGUCUGCUAUCUACAAGCUAACCUGGCCUGAAAUGAUGGGAUAAAAAAAAGGGUGAGAUUAUAAAAUCUAAGUGAGUAAACAAACACCAUCUAAAUAAUCUAAAGGCGAGUAAAGGGAGAUAAUUAAAAAUAAUUCAUUUCAGCAAAUUUUUCACAACACGAAUAUUCAUUUGAACCAAAUAAUCAAUAUGGCUUGUGAAUUUCUCAAAACUUGGCUCAUGUCAAAUCUUGUACUCGGGGACACGUGGACCAAGGGUAUCCAACCGAGUCCGCCAAGGCUGUGAAAAAUUUUAUAGAAUCAUAAAACUUGUUUUUAUUUUGAAAAAAAGCAGUCGUUCCUUGGCUUUAAUUGAGUCUCACUUCACGUGGUGGUUAACGUGAAGUGCACUCAAAAAGCCCACCUCAGGAGAUACCCUACGUGCCUCUACGACCGAGGUGAGAAUAUAAAGGAGUUUACCGUGCCCCUCUAAUAGGUUGGUCCACGGAACCCCGCCACUGCAGUAGCUAAUCUUUAAUCCACCAAUUGAUCAAAUCUCAAAGGCAUAGCAUGGCAAUUACAUUACUAACCAAUUUUAUCAAGGCAAAACAGACAGUUCAUAUUUUUCAACACAAGUAUAAAUUUAGCCAAUCAUGNAUUUUAAAAAAAAAAACACAGUCGUUCCUUGGUGUUAACGGAGUUCAUCGUCACGAGGUGGUUCGGCAUGACGUGAACUCCAACCAUACCUCAGGAGAUACCUUACGUGCCUCUCCAACCGAGGUACAUAUAUAUAUCUGGAUUCUGUGCCCCUCUAAUAGGCUGGUCCACAGAACCCGCCUACUGCAGCAAGCUAAACCCACCAUACAAUAAAAUUUUAACAGCAUGACAAGGCUAAUAUAAUACUACCCAGCCUGCAAGGGUAAAAUAAAAUAAUUCAUACAAUUCAUAAAACACAGCCCAACCAAUCAAGCCAACACAAUAACAAUAUAACAUAAGCCAUCAAUUUCCAAUCAUAAAUUUGCAACAUGCCAGUGGUCUCCAAUUACUCUAUUUUCCAAAUCGUUAUUUCAUUUCAAGACAAUUUAUAAAGUCUUUUCAUUUAAACACAUUUUGUUUACAAAACAUAAAAAUUUACCAUUUUAACUCAUUAUCAUAAAAUUCACCAAAACCGAAUAAAAACAUACUUUAGAUAAUUAAAAUGAUGGUAAGGUUACUCACAAUGUCUAGAGUGGGGAUUUUCGAAAUACUCAGACUACUGGUCAUCGAAUGCAAUUCUCGGAGGACUCACCACCUUGACACAGUACAAAAUCGAGAAAUUCACCACAUUGGUACUAAAUUGCAAUUAAACUAAUUUAGACUACUAAUGCAUGAUAUGGAAUGCAAAAGGUCUAAAUUUUGCCUAAACACCGUAUUGACUUAUUUUGGUCUUUUACUCGAUAAAUUGAAAUACGCAUCCAAUUUAGCUCCCAUUGAUCCCAUUUCUUUUUCUAAUGCUUCAAAUCACCAAUGUCUAGCCAAAUAACCCAAAAAUCAGCAAAGCCACAUUCAUAUUCCUUCUUGGAAAAAUUCGACCAAAAUGGUGCAUCAUUGUCACAAUUUUUCGUACUGGAUUUUCUUUCCAUAAUUCAUUAAUUUCCAUAUCAAAAACCAUGAUUUCAUAAUCAAAUAACCUAAAAUAAUAUCACAUUCUUCCUCACCAUUGACUUGAAAAUUCAGCUAAGGCUAGGUAAUGGGAAAAAUGAAUGUUUUUUGUACAUAUUUUGUUUACUAACAUGCUAAACUAACACUAAACACUAACAUAUAUCAAAAUCAAAUCAAUUCAAAAAUUUUCUCUCUCUAGACACAUAUGACCAGCCAUGAAAUCACCAUGAAAACAUGCAAUUUAAUCAUGAAAAAUAAGGAGAAAUGCUUGGGAAUAAGAAAACUCAAGCUUAAUAGAAAAAAUCUUACCUUUUUCACUUAAUUUCCUUGAAAACUCACACUUUUUCUUUGAUUUUCUCUCUUUAGGGUUUGGUUUUUAUUUUCUCUCUCUUCUUGCUGGUUUGGC
rnacentral:lncRNA from 1 species